rnacentral:rRNA from 1 species
CCUACGGGGGGCUGCAGUGGGGAAUAUUGGACAAUGGGGGGAACCCUGAUCCAGCCAUGCCGCGUGUGUGAAGAAGGCCCUCGGGUUGUAAAGCACUUUCAGUGAGGAAGAACGCCUGGUGGUUAAUACCCAUCAGGAAAGACAUCACUUACAGAAGAAGCACCGGCUAACUCCGUGCCAGCAGCCGCGGUAAUACGGAGGGUGCGAGCGUUAAUCGGAAUUACUGGGCGUAAAGCGCGCGUAGGUGGCUUGAUAAGCCGGUUGUGAAAGCCCCGGGCUCAACCUGGGAACGGCAUCCGGAACUGUCAAGCUAGAGUGCAGGAGAGGAAGGUAGAAUUCCCGGUGUAGCGGUGAAAUGCGUAGAGAUCGGGAGGAAUACCAGUGGCGAAGGCGGCCUUCUGGACUGACACUGACACUGAGGUGCGAAAGCGUGGGUAGCAAACAGGAUUAGAUACCCUGGUAGUC